UGGUAUUUGUAAUACCCCAAUUUUUUAUUUAUUAAAGUUAUUUGAUUUAUCAUGACUUUUGUGUAUUUAAUUGAAUAUUGGGUAAUAUUAAUUAAAUAAAUAAGGGUGGUGGGGGUGUGUGACAUUGAGGUGAGAGUAUGGAGAGUAAUUAGAGGCUAGUAAAGUUUGAUUAAAUUAUUAGAGUUUAUUUUAAUAAUUAAAAUAAUAGUAUUUUAUUAGAUUUAUUUAAUUUAAUAGAAAACAAAAAGUUUGGGGCCAAAGUGU
rnacentral:lncRNA from 1 species